rnacentral:lncRNA from 7 species
UCUUGUUGUGCCUGGCCUUUCCUUCAGUGGACUUACCACGCAUUGUCAUGACUUGCCUGGCAUAGCCCUGCCAGGCCUGGACUUGCCUUGCGUUGCCUGGACUUGCCGUGCCUUGCCCAUCCCAUCCUUCCAUCUCACCCCACCCCACCCCACCCCCCCCACCCCCUCACAUCCCCCCCCGCCCCCCACACCCUCGCACUCACUGCGUUGCCUCCGCCGCUGCCCCCGUUCCCCUUCUGCGCCCGCAGUGGGGCGGUGGUCAGCAGCAGCCCCAGCACGAGGAGGACGGUGGGGACGAAGGCCCCGUGUGAGUGCUGAGCCAUUCCUGGGGGGGUCGGGGGGGAAAAAACAGACCUGAUCAGCCCUGAGACCACCGAUGCCGUGGGGGGGGGGGGGGGGCACAGGGGGUUCGUCCCAUGUGGGGUGGGGACAGCACGACCGGCACCGUGUCCGUCCUCGCAGACCCCAGACCCAAUUUCCCCACCCCCCCCCCAAGAUCCACAUCCAUCCCCACAGACCCCAGACCCAAUUUCCCCCACCCCAAGAUCCAUGUCCAUCCUCAGACCCCAGACCCAAUUUCCCCCACCCCCUUGAUGAUUUUCCAUCCUCGCAGACCCCAGACCCAAUUUCCCCCACCCCAAGAUCCAUGUCCAUCCUCGCAGACCCCAGACCCAAUUUCCCCACCCCCCCCUAAGAUCCACAUCCAUCCCCACAGACCCCAGACCCAAUUUCCCCCACCCCAAGAUCCAUGUCCAUCCUCGCAGACCCCAGACCCCAUUUCCCUGCCACCCAGAUCUGCAUCCAUCCCCACAGACCCCAGACCCAAUUUCCCCCCCCCCAAGAUCCAUGUCCAUCCCCACAGACCCCAGACCCAAUUUCCCCCCCCCAAGAUCCACAUCCAUCCCCACAGACCCCAGACCCAAUUUCCCACCCCCUUGAUGAUUUUCCAUCCUCGCAGACCCCAGACCCAAUUUCCCCACCCCCCAACACCUUUCCCAUCCUCUCAGAGACCCCAGACCCCAUUUCCCAUCCCCUCAAAUCCCUUUCCCAUCCUCUCAGAGACCCCAGACCCCAUUUCCCAUCCCCUCAAAUCCUUCCCCAUCCUCUCAGAGACCCCAGACCCCAUUUCCCCACCCCUCAAAUCCCUUUCCCACCCCCUCAGAGACCCCAGACCCGAUUUCCCCCACCCCUCAAUCCCUUUCCCAUCCUCUCACAGACCCCAGACCCGAUUUCCCCACCCCCCAACUCCUUUCCCACCCCCUCACAGACCCAGACCCCAUUUCCUCACCUCCCAAAUCCUUCCCCAUCCUCUCAAAUACCCCAGACCCGAUUUCCCCACCCCCCAACUCCUUUCCCAUCCUCUCAGAGACCCCAGACCCCAUUUCCCCACCCCUCAAAUCCUUCCCCAUCCUCUCACAGACCCCAGACCCAAUUUCCCCACCCCCAAAUCCCUUUUCCACCCUCUCAGAGACCCCAGACCCAAUGUGACCCCCCCCUCCAGGUGCAUCUCCAUCCUCGCAGACCCAGACCCAAUUUCCCCACCCCCCAACUCCUUUCCCACCCCCUCAGAGGCCCCAGACCCCAUUUCCCCACCCCCCAAAUCCCUUUCCCAUCCUCUCAGAGACCCCAGACCCGAUUUCCCCACCCCCUUGAUGAUUUUCCAUCCUCGCAAACCCCAGACCCCAUUUCCCCACCCCUCAAAUCCUUUCCCAUCCUCUCAGAGACCCCAGACCCGAUUUCCCCACCCCCCAACCCCUUUCCCAUCCUCUCAGAGACCCCAGACCCAUUUCCCCACCCCCCAAAUCCUUUCCCAUCCCCUCAGAGACCCCAGACCCCAUUUCCCCACCCCUCAAAUCCUUCCCCAUCCUCUCACAGACCCCAGACCCAAUUUCCCACCCCCCAACUCCUUUCCCAUCCUCUCAGAGACCCCAGACCCAAUUUCCCACCCCUCAAAUCCUUCCCCAUCCUCUCACAGACCCCAGACCCAAUUUCCCACCCCCCAACUCCUUUCCCAUCCUCUCAGAGACCCCAGACCCAAUUUCCCACCCCUCAAAUCCUUUCCCAUCCUCUCAGAGACCCCAGACCCCAUUUCCCCACCCCCCAACCCCUUUCCCAUCCUCUCAGAGACCCCAGACCCCAUUUCCUCACCCCCCAACUCCUUUCCCAUCCCCUCAGAGACCCCAGACCCGAUUUCCCCACCCCCCAACUCCUUUCCCAUCCUCUCAGAGACCCCAGACCCAAUGUGACCCCCCCCUCCAGGUGCAUCUCCAUCCUCGCAGACACCAGACCCAAUUUCCCACCCCCCAACUCCUUUCCCAUCCUCUCACAGACCCCAGACCCGAUUUCCCCACCCCUCUCCCCCCAUUAAAUUUCCUCCCCCUGAAAUUAAACCGCAGAGAUCCACCCCAGCAACGAACGGCCCCAAACCGAGAGGUGGUGGGGGAGAGGAGACCCCCCACCCCCCCAAACCCCCCCCCCAAUUCCCAAUCCCCCCCCACCCCACCCCACCACGGGGACGGACAGACGGACUCACCGGGAGGAGGAGGAGCGUCGGGAAGCGGAGGAGCGAUCCCUGGGCCGUAUUUAUGGCGGGGUUGGGAUGUGGGCCGUGUCUCAGCGGUGACUCAGGGUGGGGUGGGGGGGUUGGGUGGGGGUGGGGGUGGGGGUCGGGUCCUGGAAGGUGUGGGGUGUCUUUGAGGUCCCGGCAGGUGAAGGCGACGGCUUUUGACGUCCCCCCCCCCGUAAAGGGAACGCCGACCCGAAGGCGGUUUUGCUCUCUUAUCCUCCGCCCCGUUCUGCUCGUAGGGCUACGAAACCGCCCCGGCCUGAAGGACGGACGGACGGACGGACGGACAGACGGACGGACGGACCGGUUGUGUCGUCCCCGCGGAUGGGGUGGGUGGGUGGGGGGGGUGGGUGGAUUCCUCCCCCCGGGGGAUGGGAUGGGUCGGGUCGGGUCGGGUCGGGUUUUUGGCCGUCGUUAAAGGGAAGGAUUUGGGCGCUGUCCGUCCGUCCGUCUGUCCGUCCCUCUGUCCAUCCGUCUGUCCGUCUCUGUGGCUGGAUGUCCGUCCAGCUGGAUGUCCGGCUGUCCACCCGGCUGUCAGGCUGGCUGACUGUCCAUCCUGGUGUCUGUCUGUCUGUCCGUCCAUUUGCCAGACCAGCCAGCUGUCCGUCUGUCCAUCCAGCUGCCUGCCCAUCCGCCUGUCCGUCCGUCUGUCCAUCCAACAGACUCUGCCCAUCUGCCUGUCCGUCUGUCUGUCCAUCCAACUGACUCUCUGCCCAUCUCCCUGCCCAUCUGCCUGUCCGCCUGUCUGUCCAUCCAACUGACUCUGUCCAUCUGCCUGCCCAUCCGUCUGUCGGUCCGUCCGUCCAACUGACUCUCUGCCCAUCCGCCUGUCCGUCUGUCUGUCCAUCCAUCCGCCUGUCCAUCCGUCUGUCCAUCCAACUGACUCUCUGCCCAUCCGCCUGUCCGUCCAUCUGUCCAUCCAGCUGUCUGUCCAUCUGCCUGCCCAUCCGCCUGUCCGUCUGUCUGUCCAUCCAUCUGCCUGUCCGUCCAUCUGUCCAUCCAACUGACUCUGUCCAUUGGGCUGCCCAUCCGCCUGUCCGUCUGUCCAUCCAACUGACUCUCUGCCCACCCGCCUGUCCGUCUGUCUGUCCAUCCAACUGACUCUCUGCCCACCCGCCUGUCCGUCUGUCUGUCCAUCCAACUGACUCUCUGCCCAUCCGCCUGUCCGUCUGUCUGUCCAUCCAUCCGCCUGUCCGUCCAUCUGUCCAUCCAACUGACUCUGUCCAUUGGGCUGCCCAUCCGCCUGUCCGUCUGUCCAUCCAACUGACUCUCUGCCCAUCCGCCUGUCCAUCUGUCUGUCCAUCCAGCUCUCUGUCCAUCUGCCUGCCCAUCCGCCUGUCCGUCUGUCUGUCCAUCCAUCCGCCUGUCCAUCCGUCUGUCCAUCCAACUGACUCUCUGCCCAUCCGCCUGUCCGUCCAUCUGUCCAUCCAGCUGUCUGUCCAUCUGCCUGCCCAUCCGCCUGUCCGUCUGUCUGUCCAUCCAUCUGCCUGUCCGUCCAUCUGUCCAUCCAACUGACUCUGUCCAUUGGGCUGCCCAUCCGCCUGUCCGUCUGUCUGUCCAUCCAGCUGUCUGUCCAUCUGCCUGCCCAUCCGCCUGUCCGUCUGUCUGUCCAUCCAACUGACUCUCUGCCCAUCCGUCUGCCCACCCAGCUGUCUGUCUGUCCAUCUAUCCAGCCGUCCAUCUGUCCACCUGACCACCUGCCCGCCCAUCCGCCUGUCCGUCUGUCCAUCCAGCUGUCUGUCCAUCCACCUGCUCAUCCGCCUGUCCAUCCGUCUGUCUGCCCACCCAGCUGUCAAUCUGUCCAUCUCUCCAUCCGCCAGCCCGUCCAUCUGCCUGUCCGUCCAUCUGUCCGUCUGUCUGUCUGUCUGUUCGUGCAGCUGUUAAGUGCCCGGAUGUCUGCCCAGCCGUAUCCGUCUGUCUGUCCUUCCAUCUCCCCGUCCAUCUGUCCGCCUGGCGGCAAAUCUGACUGCCCACCGCUCCACCCACCCAUCUGCCUGCCUGUCCCCACGUCCGUCUGUCCGUCCAUCCACCCACUCGUUCUCUAUCUGUCUGUCCAUCCACCCAUCUUCACAUCCAUCCACUCCGCCUGUCCGUCUGUCCGUCUGUCCGCCCACACGGCUCUCUGUCCGUCCACAUAUCCAUCCAUCCAUCCAUCCAUCCGUCCGUCUGUCCGUCCGUCCGUCCAUCCAUCCAUCCAUCCGUCCGUCCGUCUGUCCAUCCAUCCAUCCAUCCAUCCGUCCGUCCAUCCGUCCGUCUGUCCAUCCAUCCAUCCAUCCAUCCGUCCGUCCAUCCAUUUGUCCAUCCAUCCAUCCGUCCAUCCGUCCGUCCAUCCGUCCGUCCAUCCAUCCAUCUAUCCAUCUGUCCGUCCACAUAUCCAGCUGUCCAUCCAUCCAUCCGUCCAUCCGUCCGUCCAUCCGUCCGUCCAUCCAUCCAU